GCUUGCUACCUGACCUAGCGGCGGACGGGUGAGUAAUGCUUAGGAAUCUGCCUAUUAGUGGGGGACAACAUUCCGAAAGGAAUGCUAAUACCGCAUACGCCCUACGGGGGAAAGCAGGGGAUCUUCGGACCUUGCGCUAAUAGAUGAGCCUAAGUCAGAUUAGCUAGUUGGUGGGGUAAAGGCCUACCAAGGCGACGAUCUGUAGCGGGUCUGAGAGGAUGAUCCGCCACACUGGGACUGAGACACGGCCCAGACUCCUACGGGAGGCAGCAGUGGGGAAUAUUGGACAAUGGGCGAAAGCCUGAUCCAGCCAUGCCGCGUGUGUGAAGAAGGCCUUUUGGUUGUAAAGCACUUUAAGCGAGGAGGAGGCUACUUGGAUUAAUACUCUAGGAUAGUGGACGUUACUCGCAGAAUAAGCACCGGCUAACUCUGUGCCAGCAGCCGCGGUAAUACAGAGGGUGCGAGCGUUAAUCGGAUUUACUGGGCGUAAAGCGUGCGUAGGCGGCUUUUUAAGUCGGAUGUGAAAUCCCUGAGCUUAACUUAGGAAUUGCAUUCGAUACUGGGAAGCUAGAGUAUGGGAGAGGAUGGUAGAAUUCCAGGUGUAGCGGUGAAAUGCGUAGAGAUCUGGAGGAAUACCGAUGGCGAAGGCAGCCAUCUGGCCUAAUACUGACGCUGAGGUACGAAAGCAUGGGGAGCAAACAGGAUUAGAUACCCUGGUAGUCCAUGCCGUAAACGAUGUCUACUAGCCGUUGGGGCCUUUGAGGCUUUAGUGGCGCAGCUAACGCGAUAAGUAGACCGCCUGGGGAGUACGGUCGCAAGACUAAAACUCAAAUGAAUUGACGGGGGCCCGCACAAGCGGUGGAGCAUGUGGUUUAAUUCGAUGCAACGCGAAGAACCUUACCUGGUCUUGACAUAGUAAGAACUUUCCAGAGAUGGAUUGGUGCCUUCGGGAACUUACAUACAGGUGCUGCAUGGCUGUCGUCAGCUCGUGUCGUGAGAUGUUGGGUUAAGUCCCGCAACGAGCGCAACCCUUUUCCUUAUUUGCCAGCGGGUUAAGCCGGGAACUUUAAGGAUACUGCCAGUGACAAACUGGAGGAAGGCGGGGACGACGUCAAGUCAUCAUGGCCCUUACGACCAGGGCUACACACGUGCUACAAUGGUCGGUACAAAGGGUUGCUACCUAGCGAUAGGAUGCUAAUCUCAAAAAGCCGAUCGUAGUCCGGAUUGGAGUCUGCAACUCGACUCCAUGGAGUCG
rnacentral:rRNA from 1 species